GAUGAACGCUGGCGGUAUGCCUAACACAUGCAAGUCGAACGAAUUCCUUCGGGAAUUAGUGGCGGACGGGUGAGUAACGCGUGAGAAUCUGCCUCCAGAAUGGGGACAACAGUUGGAAACGACUGCUAAUACCCAAUAAGCCGAAAGGUAAAGGAUUUAUCGUCUGGAGAGGAGCUCGCGUCCGAUUAGCUAGUUGGUGGGGUAAGAGCUUACCAAGGCAGCGAUCGGUAGCUGGUCUGAGAGGAUGAGCAGCCACACUGGGACUGAGACACGGCCCAG
rnacentral:rRNA from 1 species